rnacentral:rRNA from 1 species
GUGAGUCAUCGAGUCUUUGAACGCAACUUGCGCUCUCUGGUAUUCCGGAGAGCAUGCCUGUUUGAGUGUCAUGAAAUCUCAACCAUUAGGGUUUCUUAAUGGCUUGGAUUUGGAGGUUGCCAUUCUGAAUGGCUCCUCUCAAAAGAGUUAGCGAGUUUAACUAUUGCUAUCUGGCGUAAUAAGUUUCGCUGGAAUGGUAUUGUGAAGCGCGCUUCUAAUCGUCUUCGGACAAUUACUUUGACUCUGGCCUCAAAUCAGGUAGGACUACCCGCUGAACUUAAGCAUAUCAAUAAGCGGAGG